rnacentral:lncRNA from 1 species
CGAAGAAGAAGAAGACCUCAGUAAUACGGACGCCGGUGAAGGCUUCAAUCCACGAACAUCUUUGCUCUUUGUUUGUAUGGUUCGUAUGUGUGAAUAAAUGUUCAGUGUGGAAGUCCCUCCACUUCACCUCCCGCCUCGAAACUUUAUUUCAUGCCGGAGCUAGGCUAAUAGCAUUCGCGGCUAAGCGUCCCUCCAACUCCACGUUACAAAUCCCUGGAGGAGAGGAGCGGAGGUGGGCUGCAAGGCUGGAGAAAUGCUGACGUGUCCUUUCAUUCUAUUACACUGAUCUGAGCGUCACAACAUAUAAAUUAACUGUGUGAGUGUGAUGGAGUUUGGCAGCAACAAACUGACAGCUUUUCUCCUCAUACCACUGUUUCAUCUUCCUCUACUUCCCUUUUGGCGGUAAAACGUGGUUCACAUUACCGCUAAACAGGUUUCACUCUGCUUAAGGCCACUUACUGGUGGCGAAAAGGGUUUAUUUUGGUAAAUUGUAAGAAAUAAAUUAACUCAGAGUGUGAUGGAGUUUGGCAGCAAUAAACUGACAGCUUUUCUUGUCCAUUUUCAGCUCAGAAAUCGGUACAUAAAGUUCAGCCAUCAAAACAGCAGCAGAGUGAGACGUCUUCCUUUUCCUCAUACCACUGUCAUUACUCAUCGGCGCCCUCCGGUGGCCAAAGCUGUAACUGCAUAUGGAUUAAUGAAGUUUGUGAUGAGACGCUAAAGAGCAGGAGUCAGUGACAUUUCUGCAGCUGUUUGAGGACGAACCGUGAAGAGGGACUGAUUAUGGCGAUGGAAAAACAAAAGUCGGACAAUCGUGAAACAAACUAAACUCUGUCUGAACAAACCCAGAAUCUCUUCUAUAAUUUUAUAUGAAGAAGAAGAAGAAGAUGGGUUUUAGGCAUUCCACUUGAUAGCGCCAACGUGAAACUAUACAGAAAGACAGACUCUAAGAGAGAACGAUUUUGAUAAAUUUUUGUAUUUCAUUCUAUUCAAUGCCCAAAGUUCGACUAUUUAUUGUUAAUUUAAAAUAACUGAAUUAUAAACAUUUAGCUUAAAAAAUCAAACACGUUGAGAAAAAGGGAGACAUUUUAAAGAAAUGACAUGUAGUGGCCCUCAGACUUUUACUUUAUGGUCGAUAUAAAUAAAUGUGUAAUGCUGUUUUUAUCAGCAGUGGUAGAAAUAAUUAUAUUACGCCUCACAAUCUGGGGCUCGUCUUCUUUUCUGGGACGAGUGGAUGAAGAGGAGGGGGUUUAAUCCAUCCAGUGUUUUCUCUGAAUCUCUCUCUUUGGAGGCUGCAUGCUGUUCAGUCUCUCCAAAACUAGAUCAACUCCUCCCCCUUUUCCCUCCCCUCCUAUAUAAAGCACCUGUGGCAGGAGAGCUACCUUCUCUAUUGUCUGCCUGUUUGCUGCCUAACAAAUAUUGGGACAAAAUAUUGUCCUUUUUGUGCUUUUCUUAUGUUUGUGGGGUCAAUUACAUUUAUUUUUGUUUACAACAUAUAUAUUUGGGUGUGGAAUAUUUUUGUGUUUAUU